rnacentral:rRNA from 1 species
ACGCUGUAAACGAUGAGUGCUAGGUGUCGGGGAGGAAUUCCCGGUGCCGGAGCAAACGCAAUAAGCACUCCACCUGGGGAGUACGACCGCAAGGUUGAAACUCAAAGGAAUUGACGGGGGCCCGCACAAGCGGUGGAGCAUGUGGUUUAAUUCGAAGCAACGCGAAGAACCUUACCAAGGCUUGACAUACCUUUGACAGAUGUAGAGAUAUAUUUUUCCUUCGGGACAAAGGAUACAGGUGGUGCAUGGUUGUCGUCAGCUCGUGUCGUGAGAUGUUGGGUUGAGUCCCGCAACGAGCGCAACCCUUAUCUUCAGUAGCCAGCAAGAGAGAUGGGCACUCUGGAGAGACUGCCGUGGAUAACACGGAGGAAGGUGGGGAUGACGUCAAAUCAUCAUGCCCCUUAUGUCUUGGGCAACACACGUGCUACAAUGGCUAGAAACAAAGUGAAGCGAGACGGUGACGUUAAGCAAAGCACAAAAACCUAGUCCCAGUUCGGAUUGUAGUCUGCAACUCGAGUACAUGAAGCUGGAAUCGCUAGUAAUCGCAAAUCAGAAUGUUGCGGUGAAUACGUUCCCGGGCCUUGUACACACCGCCCGUCACACCAUGGGAGUUGGAAGCGCCCGAAGUCGAUGACCCAACCUGCGAGGGAGGGAGUCGCCGAAGGUGAAGCCAGUGACUGGGGUGAAGUCGUAACAAGGUAGCCGUAUCGGAAGGUGCGGUUGGAUCACCUC